GAUGAAGAACGUAGCGAAAUGCGAUAAGUAAUGUGAAUUGCAGAAUUCAGUGAAUCAUCGAAUCUUUGAACGCACAUUGCGCCCAUUAGUAUUCUAGUGGGCAUGCCUGUUCGAGCGUCAUUAAGUCCACUUAAGCCCAGCUUAGUGUUGGGAGACUGCUCCAGCGGUGCUACCCUGUAGCUACCCUGCAGCUCCUCAAAGACAGCGGCGGAGUUGUGGUAUCCUCUGAGCUUAGUAACUUGUUCUAGCCUUCGAGUACACCACUUCCCCUGCCGUAAAAACCCUUAAUUUUUAAUGGUUGACCUCGGAUCAGGUAGGAAUACCCGCUGAACUUAAGCAUAUCAAUAAGCGGAGGA
rnacentral:misc_RNA from 1 species